rnacentral:rRNA from 1 species
GGAUGAACGCUGGCGGCGUGUCUAAGGCAUGCAAGUCGAAUGGUCUGGUUUCCAGGCCAUGGCGAGCGGGAGAGUAACACAUUGGUAAUUUACCCCAAAGACGAGAAUAAUCCAGAGAAAUCUGGAAUAAUACUCGAUAUUAUGCAUUGUCACCUGAUAAUGCAUCAAAGCUCCGGCGCUUUGGGAGAAGCCUAUGGUCUAUCAGCUAGUUGGUGAGGUAAUGGCCCACCAAGGCGACGACGGAUAGCGGGUGUGAGAGCAUGACCCGUCUCACUGGGACUGAGACACUGCCCAGACUCCUACGGGAGGCUGCAGUCAAGAAUAUUCCUCAAUGGCCGAAAGGCUGAAGGAGCGACGCCGCGUGUAUGAUGAAGCCCUUCGGGGUGUAAAAUACUUUUAACCGGGACGAAGUACUGACGGUACCGGUUGAAUAAGGGGCUGCUAACCUCGUGCCAGCAGCAGCGGUAAUACGAGGGCCCCGAGCGUUAUCCGGAUUUAUUGGGCGUAAAGGGUGUGUAGGCUGUUUAUACCAUCUCCUGUUAAAUCUUAAGGCUCAACCUUGAGGCUGCGGGAGAUAUGAAUAAACUAGAGUUCGGAAGAGGCAAGCGGAAUUGCUGGUGUAGGGGUUAAAUCCGUUAAUAUCAGCAAGAACACCGAAAGCGAAGGCAGCUUGCUAGGACGACACUGACGCUGAGACACGAAAGCGUGGGGAGCGAAUGGGAUUAGAUACCCCAGUAGUCCACGCCGUAAACGAUGGAUGCUGAACAUUGGCAGUAUCGACCCUGCCAGUGUGGCUGUAAUCAAGCUAACGCCUUAAGCAUCCCGCCUGGGGAGUACGGCCGCAAGGCUAAAACUCAAAGGAAUAGACGGGGACCCGCACAAGCGGUGGAGCAUGUGGUUUAAUUCGACGAUAAGCGAGGAACCUCACCAAGGUUUGACAUCUAGCUGCAGACUCCUGGAAACAGGAGAGCCUUCGAGGGUGCUAGACAGAUGCUGCAUGGUUGUCGUCAGCUCGUGUCGUGAGAUGUUGGGCUAAGUCCCGCAACGAGCGCAACCCUUACCAUUAGUUACCAUCAUUCAGUUGGGCACUCUAAUGGAACCGCCGGUGUUAAGCCGGAGGAAGGUGGGGAUGACGUCAAGUCCUCAUGGCCUUUAUGCCCAGGGCUACACACGUACUACAAUGGCCGGUACAAAGGGCAGCAAGCUCGCGAGAGCAAGCAAAUCCCAAAAAGCCGGUCCCAGUUCAGANNNGAGNNUGCAACUCGACUCCAUGAAGUCGGAAUCGCUAGUAAUCGCGAAUCAGCAGGUCGCGGUGAAUACGUUCUCGGGCCU